rnacentral:lncRNA from 1 species
GCCACAUGUGGCCAGUGGUCACACUUCCAUCCUCAUGCCACCCGACCUGGGCAGGCCACCCACUCACCUCUCAUGAGCUCCAUGUGCUUUCAGCUUCACCAGAGGGGGUGAGGGGGUCCAUGGGGAUCAACCUGGGGACCCUCCAUUUCACCAAAGCCUCACCCUCAGCCCUUGGGGAGAAUGAAUGGCUAAUCCACUGACCCCUGGCAUCAUCAUGAGGCUGUGGACUGGCAGGGGUCAAAGGGAAGAGACACUGGGGGUGCAAAAGGAGACUCGAGACAUCCAAGGAAGUCCCAAGCAGAGCAAAUUGCUUUAUAGCCUGAAGCCUACUUAAACUGUGUUCUGUGCAAUAACUGAGCUUAGAGUUAAGAAUUGUGUUCAAGUGCUUGGAUUUCCGUCUGUAUAUUUAAGUGCUGAAACUGUAUCUCUCAGUAAUUUUAGAUGUCUUUAAAAAAAAAUCGAAAAACAAAGUGUUAGACCGUGUCUGUGCGUUGAUGGGCACUCAAGCGUCCCGUGGGUCACCCACCCUCUCCCCUGUGCCCCGCCUCCUUUUCACACACCCCCUUCUCCCACCUCUACUUGGGGACCCUGCCUCGUGUUGUCUUUAUCUGCCUAUUAACUCAGCCUAAGAAAGCAAGUACACUUCACACAUGCAUAAAGGAAAUCAAAUGUUAUUUUUAAGAAAACUGAAAAUAAAAACUUUAUAAAC